CCUACGGGAGGCAGCAGUGGGGGAUAUUGCACAAUGGGCGAAACACUGAUGCAGCGACGCCGCGUGUGGGAAGACGGUCCUCUGGAUUGUAAACCACUGUCCCCAGGGACGAAGAUGACGGUACCUGGGGAGGAAGCUCCGGCUAACUACGUACAAGCAGCCGCGGUCAUACGUAGGGAGCGAGCGUUGUCCGGAAUUACUGGGUGUAAAGGGAGCGUAGGCGGGACGGAAAGUUGGGUGUCAAAUCUACCGGCUCAACCGGUAGCCGCACUCGAAACUGCAGUUCUUGAGUGAAGUAGAGGCAGGCGGAAUUCGUGGUGUAGCGGUGAAAUGCGUAGAUAUUAGGAGGAACACCGGUGGCGAAGGCGGCCUGCUGGGCUUAUACUGACGCUGAGGCUCGAAAGUGUGGGGAGCGAACAGGAUUAGAUACCCGAGUAGUC
rnacentral:rRNA from 1 species